UAUUUCAUUGGCUUUUGGGCAGCACAGGUUGAUGUGGGAGAGCGUAAAGACUCAAGGUCUGAUUCAAGCUACCUGGUAUGAGUCUCUCUAAGCUCUCCUAUAACAACCUGUGUCGCCUCAACGCUAGUGAAUUA